rnacentral:rRNA from 1 species
GACAGAGGGUGCAAACGUUGUUCGGAAUUACUGGGCGUAAAGCGCGUGUAGGCGGCUUGGCAAGUCGGGUGUGAAAGCCCUGGGCUUAACCUAGGAAGUGCACUCGAAACUGCCGAGCUUGAGUUCUGGAGAGGGAUGCGGAAUUCCAGGUGUAGCGGUGAAAUGCGUAGAUAUCUGGAGGAACACCGGUGGCGAAGGCGGCAUCCUGGACCGGUAUUGACGCUGAGGCGCGAAAGCCAGGGGAGCAAACGGG